rnacentral:rRNA from 1 species
UCAGACUCGGGUGAGGGGCCCCGCGCUGUGGGUGACGGCUCCUCGGAGUUGUGGCGCCUCCUCUAGGUAGGUUUUGUGGAUCCUCAACGGAGUCUCUUAGGGGAGAUUCCAUGGGUUUCGAUUUGGGUUGACGGUACCUAACGAAUAAGCACCGGCUAACUCCGUGCCAGCAGCCGCGGUAAUACGGAGGGUGCAAGCGUUGUCCGGAAUCAUUGGGUGUAAAGGGUGCGUAGGCGGAAUGCUAAGUCUGAGGUGAAAUCCUGCCGCUUAACGGUAGAACUGCCUUGGAUACUGGUAUUCUUGAGUACAGAAGAGGUCGGUGGAAUUCGUAGUGUAGCGGUGAAAUGCUUAGAUAUUACGAAGAACACCAGUGGCGAAGGCGGCCGACUGGUCUGUAACUGACGCUGAGGCACGAAAGCGUGGGGAGCGAACAGGAUUAGAUACCCUGGUAGUCCACGCUGUAAACGAUGUAUGCUAGGUGUUGGCCUUCGGGUCAGUGCUGCAGUUAACGCAUUAAGCAUACCACCUGGGGAGUACGUCGGCAACGAUGAAACUCAAGGGAAUUGACGG